ACGCUGGCGGCGUGCUUAACACAUGCAAGUCGAACGAUGAAGCCUAGCUUGCUAGGUGGAUUAGUGGCGAACGGGUGAGUAAUACGUGAGUAACCUACCUUUAACUCUGGGAUAAGCCUGGGAAACUGGGUCUAAUACCGGAUACGACCAAUCUCCGCAUGGGGUGUUGGUGGAAAGCGCUAUGUAGUGGUUAUAGAUGGGCUCACGGCCUAUCAGCUUGUUGGUGAGGUAACGGCUCACCAAGGCGACGACGGGUAGCCGGCCUGAGAGGGUGACCGGCCACACUGGGACUGAGACACGGCCAGACUCCUACGGGAGGCAGCAGUGGGGAAUAUUGCACAAUGGGCGCAAGCCUGAUGCAGCGACGCCGCGUGAGGGAUGACGGCCUUCGGGUUGUAAACCUCUGUUAGCAGGGAAGAAGAGAGAUUGACGGUACCUGCAGAGAAAGCGCCGGCUAACUACGUGCCAGCAGCCGCGGUAAUACGUAGGGCGCGAGCGUUGUCCGGAAUUAUUGGGCGUAGAGAGCUUGUAGGCGGUUUGUCGCGUCUGCUGUGAAAGGCCGGAGCUUAACUCCGUGUAUUGCAGUGGGUACGGGCAGACUAGAGUGCAGUAGGGGAGACUGGAAUUCCUGGUGUAGCGGUGGAAUGCGCAGAUAUCAGGAGGAACACCGAUGGCGAAGGCAGGUCUCUGGGCUGUAACUGACGCUGAGAAGCGAAAGCAUGGGGAGCGAACAGGAUUAGAUACCCUGGUAGUCCAUGCCGUAAACGUUGGGCACUAGGUGUGGGGGACAUUCCACGUUUUCCGCGCCGUAGCUAACGCAUUAAGUGCCCCGCCUGGGGAGUACGGCCGCAAGGCUAAAACUCAAAGAAAUUGACGGGGGCCCGCACAAGCGGCGGAGCAUGCGGAUUA
rnacentral:rRNA from 1 species